AUACGGAGGACGCGAGCGUUAUCCGGAUUCAUUGGGUUUAAAGGGAGCGCAGGCGGAGAUGCAAGCGUGACGUCAAAUUUCGGGGCUCAACCCCGUCUCGCGUCGCGAACUGCGUCCCUUGGUUGCGGGAAGGGGAGGCGGAACUCGUGGUGUAGCGGUGAAAUGCAUAGAUAUCACGAAGAACUCCGAUCGCGAAGGCAGCCUUCCGGCCCGUCAACGACGCUCAUGCUCGAAGGUGCGGGUAUCAAACAGGAUUAGAUUCCCUGGUAGUCCGCACAGUAAACGAUGGACACCCGCGGUUUGGCCUGUAUGGCUGAGCCGCCAAGCGAAAGCGUUAAGUGUCCCACCUGGGGAGUACGCCGGCAACGGUGAAACUUAAAGGAAUUGACGGGG
rnacentral:rRNA from 1 species